CUCCCACUCUCUAAAUUCUUCCAGGGACUUUACUUUUUCCUUCACAGACGGAGCCACAAUGGAGACUCACACUUUAAGACAACAUCCAGAUGGCUGGUCUUCAAACUGCAAUUGCAAAUGCCUGCAAGGGAGGCUCUCUGUAGUCUCAAAUUCGUGAUUUGCGGUUUCAGCAGACUCCCUGGAGACUUCGGCCUCUAGCCUACCCUUUGGCAGCCUUCCCAGCCCACUGGAAACACCCUGGGGAGAAGAGAGCUGAAGACAA
rnacentral:lncRNA from 1 species